AAGAACGGAGGAGGGAAGCCUGGUGGGGAGAAGGGAGCCCGCAGGAUCAGGGGUCAGAGUUAGGGGGCUUCCCUCCUGGUGCACCCUCAUCUCAGGGCCGCCAACUUCCAGCUGCAGCGGCGACUUUCAGUUUCAUUUCCACGGACCCUCCUGCCUGGGCCGCAGCCGCCGCCGCGAUGCCCAGUAAGUUCAGCUGCCGGCAGCUCCGGGAGGCGGGCCAGUGUUUCGAGAGUUUCCUGGUCGUUCGGGGACUGGACAUGGAGACAGAUCGCGAGCGGCUGCGGACCAUUUAUAACCGCGACUUCAAGAUCAGUCUUGCCUCCAGCAAAUCCAUCCUCCAAUCCUGAUGCCAGAGUGAUCUGAAAUGCAAAUAUGAUCUUGCCACUCCCCUGCUUAAAACCCACCAACCGCAGUGGUUCUGUAACCACAGUGUAGCCUCUGACGUGGGCUGAAAGCACAAAGCCAGGCUAUUUGAUCUCUGGAGAAGGAUCCUUUCCCUUCCUGCUUGGGUUCCACCUGCACCCUAUGACUUCGGGUGGAAACUGCUGUCUGAUCAGCCACCUUGCCCACACACUUGGACAUCUGUACUGUCUCUGAUCCCUUCUCUCCU
rnacentral:sRNA from 1 species